rnacentral:rRNA from 1 species
AAACUCCCAACCCAUGUGAACUUUACCUUAACCCGAGGGCCUAGGCCUGAGGGCGUUGCUUCGGCGUCUUUCUCGGGAGACGCCGGAGGUUUAAACUCAUGUUUUCUAGCGUAUCUCUGAGGCCUAAUGGCAACUAUAACAACUUUCAACAACGGAUCUCUUGGCUCUGGCAUCGAUGAAGAACGCAGCGAAAUGCGAUAAGUAUUGUGAAUUGCAGAAUCCAGUGAAUCAUCGAAUCUUUGAACGCACAUUGCGCCCGCCGGCUAAUCCGGCGGGCAUGCCUGUUCGAGCGUCAUUUCGACCCUCAACUUAGCUUUAAGUUGGUGUUGGGGCGUCCGCUUUACGGCGGAGGCCCUCAAAUUUAUAGGCGGUCCCUUCGGAUCACGAGCGCAGUAAUUACUUAUUCGUUCGGCUGCUUCGGAGGGCACCUGCCCCUAAAUUAUUUUUCUAAGGUUGACCUCGGAUCAGGUAGGAAUACCCGCUGAACUUAAGCAUAUCAAUAAGCGGAGGAAAAGAAACCAACAGGGAUUGCCUCAGUAACGGCGAGUGAAGCGGCAACAGCUCAAAUUUGAAAUCUGGCCCUCGGGUCCGAAUUGUAAUUUGUAGAGGAUGCUUUCGGCGAGGCCCCCACCGAGUCCCCUGGAAUGGGGCGCCAUAGAGGGUGAGAGCCCCGUAUGGUGGGAUGCCGAACCGGUGUAAAGCUCCUUCGACGAGUCGAGUAGUUUGGGAAUGCUGCUCUAAAUGGGAGGUAAAUUUCUUCUAAAGCUAAAUACCGGCCAGAGACCGAUAGCGCACAAGUAGAGUGAUCGAAAGAUGAAAAGCACUUUGAAAAGAGGGUUAAAAAGUACGUGAAAUUGUUGAAAGGGAAGCGCCCAUGACCAGACUCGGCUUCUGGGGAUCAUCUGUCGUUCUCGGCGGUGCACUCCCCAGUUUUCGGGCCAGCAUCGGUUUUCCCCGGGGGAUAAAGGCGCCCGGAACGUGGCUCCCUUCGGGGAGUGUU